UUGAUCUGGUACCAUCUAAUGUUUUUACCUUGUGCUGUUUGUGAGCAUGCUUACUCACUGGCCCAGAAUUUAGAUCCAAAUAGUGAAGGGCAAGGAGUAUUGCAGUUCAAAACUAGUUCGAUGUCGGUAAUCAGGCUAAAACUAGCGAAGAGGGAAGGUGGUGCUAUAGACCGAAGUUAGGAUAUUGCUAAACUGCAAGAUUUUUACAAGCUUUACAGAUAAAAGCAUAAAGUGGAUGAGUUGAUUGAAGAUGAAAUGAAGUUGAGGGAAUCAGCUGUAUUCAGCGGUAACCUUGGAGAGUUGGAAAGGAAAACUCAGAAGUACUUGCAACGUUGAAGGUCUUAUGGUCAGUAAUAGAGGAUAUGACAAAGGAAAUUUCACUAGAGGAUGCAAAAAUUAGAUAUCUGAACAGGUUUGUAUUCCUCUCCUUGAUAUUUUGUGCGCAUGCAGGAGGUUCUAGAUUUCGGGAGGAGCGUUCAAAGGUAACCAGCAAUAUCUCCAUCUAAUUUCAUUCUGGGUUUGUUGAUAUGUAUUUAGUGCGAGUCUUUUCGUCAGGCGAUGUGCAACUGCUCAUUAUCUGUAUGCAAGAUGUAGUCUGCUGCAUCACUUUUAUUUUGCUAUAGAGAUUCAUCUGAACUUUUUACAUCAAUGGUUCUAUUAGAGAACUAACAUGAUAACUGAAUGGCUAAAAUUGGAUUUUGUUAAGCCUCCUGGAUCUAUCAGAAUGUUAAGCUGCUCCUGAACGCAAAUAAUUUUCAAUUUGCUUCAAAUUGAUAAUACAUUGUUUAUAUACUACAGAAACAUGUUUCUAGCUGAAUGAUGCUCACAGUACAGCCGCUAUACUUUUUUUUAUUACAAAUUCAGUGCAAUGCAGUUCGCUCCCGUGCUGGAUUGUGACAUUUUUAGACAUGCAUGUCUUCCGCGAAGAAAUGAUAAUUGAAUAUUGGAGUAGUAGUAUGCCUAAAUUGGAUUUUGUUUGGCCUCCAGCCUGGUUUCCUGAGAAUGUUUAGCUGGUCCUGAAUGUAAAUAUUUGGCCAUUUUCUUCAAAGUUAAAACCAAUCAUAAGCCAGCUGAAAUAUGACUGAAUUGUAAAAAAAAAACCAUGAACCAGUCAAGAACUCAAGAUUAGGCAAUUGUAGGGCAUGGUGACCUGCAUGUUGCCUCCAGCCUCUGCAUGUCUAUAUUUUUGUGAUUUAGUUUCCUCAUAUAGCUUUAUCAGUAAACAUCAUAGUUCUCAAUAUCGGGCUAUAGCCCAGCUAUAGCGCCUGAAGAGGGUCGCCGAAUGGGCUAUAGCAGGGAUUUAGUUGGCUAAAGCGCGCUAUAUCUGGAAUUUAGUGCAAUUUGGGAUUGCUACCGCUAAACCCUGUAAACUGCUAUUUAGAACCUUGGUAAACAUGCCACUUUCCUUGCUCAUAUAUGUGGGUUGCAUUGAUUAAUGAUUAUACAAUUUUCUGUCAGCAUUCUUCAUUCUAGAACAGCGUUACAGCUGAGCUUGUUACUUGCACCUUCUUUUUUAGCACAACAUAUCUUUCACUUUUUGGUACUUGUUGCAUGUAGCAUGAGCCUCACACUGUAACAAUACUAUGGUACUUGCUAAGUAAUUACGGUAUAGUUCCAAUCCACAUAGAACUGCAUUUGUUUGGAUGAACUGAAUGAUUGAUACUUCAUGUUUUAGGGAGGAAAACCCCGUAUUUGUGAUUUUGUUCAUGGGUCAGAUGGCAUUGGGGAUCUGUUUCUUCCUGAACCCACUAUUAACAAGGUUGAGGAAAUUGCUGCUGAGUUCUUGGUCAAUAAGGUCUCUGAGUUUCAUGGAGAGGUCUCUGUACUCGCUUUGGGACCCCUGACAAAUGUAGCAUUGGCUGUCAAAAGACACCCUUCCUUUGCAAGCAGGGUGAAGAAAAUAGUUGCACUGGGUGGAGCUUUCUUUGCAGCAGGAAAUGUCAACCCUGUAGCCAAAGCAAAUGUAUGUUAACCUACUGCAUUGUACUUGAGCAGGCAACUACCAGCAGAUACGGUUGCGGUUGGCAUUAACAUAACGACUCAAGUCGGCUUUACAGAUGAGGAUCUCUUGGAGCUAAGAAACUCGAAAGGGAAUCAUGCACAGUUCUUGUCUGAUAUGUUUCAGUUCUACACGGAUUGGCAUAUGUCAAGUCUGAUGGCUUGUUACAUGCACUUGAGCAACAUCACCCCCAGCGGUGCUCUCCUCUUCUGGAUGAGUUUGAUCUUCUUGUUUUGCUUUUAGAUUUUGUAAUGAAUCCUGCAUUUGUUUCUAAAACUGGGCCAUCCAGAAAAGCUUCCAUCAUUGAUGAAGUUAAGGCUGCUGAAAACACUCCACAGGAAAUAAAGAGAUCGAGGGAUAGGGUGUGCUAUGCCAAUAUGUCCGAUGAGGCUAAAAAGGAAAAGAUCUCAAGAAGAAUCUGAACUGUACCAUUAUCAGAGUGGGUGUCAUUAUGUCUCUUAGAAAAAGAUUAUUCGAGCAAGGUUUUUUUUUUCCCAACCAACAAGUUAUGGUUUGUUUGUUCUGUCAACCUGCUUUGCUAAUCUGCUAUGUCUCCCUCUGUGGAUGGAAAUGCUUCAGUUCAGUCAAAAAUUACCAAAAUCGCCAGUGCUUCAGUCACCAGAAGUGCGUCAAAUGGUUAUUAAUUCCAAACCACUGAUUACUAAGCAUUGGACAGCAACGUAGACAUGAAGAUGGAGGUCGAAAGCGAGUUCGACAACCGCGAUGCUGACUCAAGGGACAACGUCGUCGACGACGACACAUGCUCGCUGGUGAGUAUAACCUUUGUGCCGAUGGAGGCAAUGUGGGUGCCUCUGUUCGUUUCGAUCUAGCGGAUUUGAGAUUGUGCUCUGCUCUGUACUCUUGACUGAUGAUGGCUAAGGUUUCUGUCGGUUAUUAAUUUUUGGGCGAUUGGGCGAAAGCCGAUCUUUAGAAUUUCAGGUGUCUUAGUUCUGUCCCAGUUUGUGUUCUUUUCUGAAAAUGGGUAGUUUGCAUUGUUAGGUUGUUAGGGAAAAAACUUUUUACAGAUUUCUACUAAGUUAAUUUUGAUAAAUAAUUAAGAGGUUUGACACGGUUGUGGUUAAUAGGUUAAACUAAAUCAAGAGGAUCACAAAAAUAAGAUUAUUGAGUCUGAGUUAUUUAACUCCUGGGGUGAAAUUGCAAAAGAUAAGGAUGAAGCACGGGAUGCUUGGCCAGCUGCUGCUGGGAGCGACAGAUUUCAUUUCUUGGUUGUGAAUCAUGUUUGCUUGCGUGAUCAGCAAUUUUGAAAGAAUUUCAUCUGUGUUAUUUCUGUGACAGUCAAUGGUGUUAAAACAUCCUAUGCAAUUUUGAAUAUAUGUGUUGUGAAGCUCAUGUGAGCUGCCUGAAGCUCAAGUGAGCUCCUGCUUUAUGAGUUACGCGUUUCACUUUGUAUUUAUGGUUAAUUUAUUAUAUAUGGAAUGCUUGUGGGCACAGUGGUGACCGAUACCCCAGUUCGCCCACGAUAUGCGGACUCAAGGAAAACACGAUUUGACUUUUUCUUAAACUAAUUUUAAUCUUAUUUGAAGAGAGUACAAAUAUCAACAUUUCAAGUGUAUCACAAUCUGUUUGCUUUGCUAUAUCAAUUUUAAAUUUCUUGUUAUUUUUAAA